rnacentral:lncRNA from 1 species
UCAUGUUCACUGAUGAUAGUAGCUAGACUUGGUAAAUUGGAGGAUGGAUUAGUUGUAAUUAGGAUUGGCCAAAACAUAACCCUCAAUGGCCUUGAAAAGAGCAUCCCCCUUGGCUUUGCCUUCCUCAACCUCCUUUUCAAUUGGCUUAGCAUCUCCUUUGGUUUGGUAUUUAACGGUCGUCUUUCCAAUAGACCCUCCAUUUGAGCCUUCAACCAAUUUCGCUUCAAAUGAUAUCUUUUCGACUGUCUCUGGCAACCCGACUCCUCCAACUAUACUAUAGUUAUGGUGGCAUUUAGCAUGGGAAUGGAGAGUUAUAUCUCAAGUUUGCUUCAUCAAUUUGGUGCAACACAUACAAGGUUUGUCCCCACAAGCAAAUUAAGUUUGCCCCCACAAACAAAAAUUUCUUGAUCCAUUACUGAAUUUGUGUACUAUAUGUUGACGGGAGUGGUUAUGGUGCAUAAGGAUUUCCUUAUGCACCGUGCAUAAUUGCUUCAUACACCUCAACCCAUUUUUUCAUACACCCCCCAAACGCAUCUCUAUUUUCAUUUCUGUCUAAAACCAAACGAAACCAAACGUUGUGUUCAUCAUCAUCACUGCGUGCAUCACACAACCACCGUCAGUUCAAAACCACCGUCGCUAAGGAAGAACUAUUUUGCUGUGGAAAUAGUUUCUAUGAGUUGUACUCAAAAUUUGGGGUUUACUACGUCUACACUUACUUAUAUACAUUGGGCUCCGAUUUUUUGUGGUAGUCCCGAUGGUACAAUUGACUCCGAUUGGUAACAAAGAUGGUGAUUUUUUUUUUUUAAAAUUAAAAAUAUUUCAAAAAAAAUAAGCAUGAGAGUCGAGAAUAGAAAAUGGCCUGUGCAUAUUCAACUCUACUCGAUUUAUGCUAAUUUUAAUAGUUGACCCGGUAAAAUUGAAGGUUUAUAACGAGUUACUCAAAUAUAGUAGUAACUUGAGGUAAUUAUUUGGGAAAAUUGCAUUGGCCUCCCCUAAAGUUGAUUAAAAUGUUACUAACAUCCCUUCUAGUUUUAAAAUUAACACUAACCUCCCUUAAGCUUUCAUCAAAUACACAAACACUUCCCUUACUUAUUAACACCGUUAGUUUUCAGUUAAUUAUUUCUCUUUCACAAGCCAGUUUGACCUCUCAGUCAUCUUCAAUCAAAAAAACUACCGUCUGACGGUGGUGGGAUUACAAACCUCGAUCGCUUCUUUUUACUGCUUCAUCCCCAUAUCACCAUCAAUAUCUAUUCGUACAUCAUCAUCUUUCUCCACAUCAUUAUUCUCCCUUAUGAGAACUCCCCAACAAUAGUUGUUGAUUGGAAAUAGCAACCCAAAGCUCCAUUGGCUCUUCAUCUUCACAAAUACAAAGAAUUAGAAAUUUUACCAAUCCACACAUAUAUCGUUGAAGGAACAUGAACAAUAAAAACAAUACGAGAAUCAAGAGCUAGCAGCCUAGCAAUAUAUCCUUCAUUAGGUACCGAAUGAUGAGGGUCAUAGGUUAAAUGAGAAGCCACUAAACAUCCUACGAACAUACUAUAAUUAUGACUCGAAGGUAUUAGCAUCUGUGUUUAUUGAUGGAAAGGACGAAGCCGUGAAAGCAACAACUAAGGUUUGUUUUCGACGCCAUCAGCUGUGUGUUUUCUGUUUGACAGUCACCUGGAGGUUCAUGAAACGGAUAUUGAAAGGACAAAAUUAACGGAAAAUUAACAUUGUUAAUAUGGAAGGGAGAUGUUUGUAUAUUUGAUGAGAACUUAAGGGAGGUUUGUGUAAGUUUUAAAACUAAAGGGGGUGUUAGUGUCAUUUCAACGUAACUCAGGGGAGGUGAGAGUAAUUUUCCCUAAUUAUUUUAUCGUUCAAUUUUAUCUUUUAUUUAAACAAUUUAAUUUAGAAUUUGAUCUUUUUCUAUCCAAUCAAAUAAGUGAUUUUUUCCUAUUAAAUAACUGCAUAAUAUUUUACUCCCUCUCCGUUUCAAAAUGAGUGUCACUUUAGCCAAAAAAAAUUGUUUCAAAAUGAAUGUCACUUUACAUUUUCAAUACAACUUUAAUUUUUUUCUUCCAACUUUUUUCUCACACAAUUUUCAAUGCAACUUUAAUUUUGUCUUAUAAAGUAAGGGCAGUUUAGUAAAAACGUUAUAUCCAAUGAUUAUUUCAUUCCAUUUCUUAUAAAUCUGUGUACCAAAGUCUAAAGCGACACUCAUUUUGAAACGGAGGGAGUAUAACUUUCAUUAUUAUUUUUGAUAAAUUGUAAUUUUCAUUAUUUACCCUUCAAAUUUAAACGAGAAACAUUAACAACAUUAAUAUUUAGUCCCAAUUAUUGUUUCAAGAAAAAAAUAGAAACAAAAGAAGAAGGAAAAUAGAAAGUAACAUGUGAAGAGAAAUAAGACAUUGAGAAAAGAAAAUGAAAGAAACGAACACCGUAUGUAAUAUUCUCACGAUGCAAAUUGAAAUGUUUUAUUAUUGGAAUAUAAAGCAAGACAAAGGGAUCAAUGGAUCAUAUUAUAUAAUAAUAACAUAACACUGUCUGAAUUAGUUGCUGUCUUUGUUGUAAUCAGGAUUAGCCAAAAGGAAACUCUCAACUGCCUUUGUGAAACCUUCAAAUCUCUCUAUUCCAGCUUCCAAAUAAUCUUUACUGAGUUCAAUAUCAUCACCUUUGGUAUAGUAUUUGGUUGUUGACUUCACAAUGCAUCCUUCCUCAGGGGUUGGAACCAAUUUGAACUCAAAAACUAUUUUCUCUAGAGGUUGAUCUGACAAAGCAAUACCUUCAUAUACACUGUAAGUGUACGCACAGUUUUCUCUGUCAACCAUAUCUAUGUGUUGCUUCGUAGACCCAAAAUCUGCUCACACAAUUAAUUAAGCGUAUAUUAUAUAAGUGUUUAUGUAUAAAUUAUUUAUAUAUAAGCUGUUUCAUAAAUUAACAUGGAUAGCAUAGCUUAUAAAAUAGUGAGAGGAAUAAGUAUCUAUAUGGUCAAACAAACUUAAUUUAGAUUUAAGACUUAAUUGCACUUUUGGCCCCCUAUCUUUUUUAAAGUUGCGAUUUUGACCCCCUAACUAAUUAAAAUACAAAACAGCCUCUAUGUAUUGGAUCAUUGGCAGUUUUGGCCCCCAAGAUCACUUUUGACUUAGUCUUCGCUGACGUGGCACCCACAAUGAUCGACACGUGGCACCUCACUUAAGGGAUGUGGGUGCCACGUCAGCGAAGACUAUGUCAAAAGUGGUCUUGGGGGCCAAAACUGCCAAAGAUCCAAUACAUAGGGGGCUGUUUUGUAUUUUAAUUAGUUAGAGGACCAAAAUCGCAACUUUUAAAAAGAUAAGGGACCAAAAGUGCAAUUAAGCCUAGAUUUAAUUACCUCCAACAAAAGUUAAUUUCUUAAUGGUUCCUGGGCCACCAUCUCCUUCAAGAGUUUCUGCUUUCUCGAUGAAUCGUGGUAAAGCUUUGGGGUAGAUGAUGUUUCCAUCUUCGACAAUGCCUCUGUAUAGUUUUUCAGCAGAGAGAGAGGAAACAUACUCGCUUUCUGAAGUGAUAACACCCAUGAUAAUUUUUUGACUCUUAAGAAAGUUAAUUAAGAUCAAUGUUCUCUUUCUUUUGGUGUGGAUUGAUAUGUUGGCAUAUGCGUUAAUUUAUAGGCGCUGCAAUGGAGCAAUAGGUCACUGUGGAGUUGCCCCUAGAACACGAAAGUUUAUAAGUAAGUUUUAAUUUUCAAUUUCAUGUUUGCCAAUCUGUAAUAAUUAAUGUGGGGAAAUGCUUGCAUUAUCGUAUAGCAAUUCCUCAAGGUCUUAUUUUAGGCUAGUAUAAAUUAAAAAGUCGCCACUCCCGUGUGGAACAGAUACCUCGAUGAUCUACGGAGGUUAGAUAAACUAGGGCAAGAAAAUGUUGCUUAAAUAUGUUAUUUUAUACUAAUAUGAUCAUCAUAAACAUUUGCGUGCAUACAAUUUCCUUAAAAAAAUAAGAUUGCAUAUGCAUACGGAGAUUGUUUUAUAUAAAUACUAAUUCUUUUUUUAAAGGAUUCAAAUUUGCAUGCAUACAAAGAUUGUUAUAUAUAUAAUUAUUUUGGGUACAACUACAAUGCUUCCUAUAUAUUUAUAUGCCAUAAACACAUUAAAGUUAAUCUGUUCCGCAAAAAAAAUCCUCAAAUAUUUUUAUUUAUACAAAUAUUUUAGAAUGAUUUUUUUUUAAAAUAAAACUAUAUAAGACUUCAAUAAGUUAAAUAUUUUAAGACUUUUUUUUUCACAUUUUAUAAGACUUAAAUGUUUAGAACGUUUUUAGAGAAUUAGUCUUUAAAUUUAAUCUAAUUUAAUACAAAGAUAAUUUAUUCAGACAACCCGAGUUAUAUAACUGAGUCAUUUGAUUCAAUCCAGUUUAGUCACGUGUUUCGAUUGGUGACCCAAUUAUUCGACCAUUAUACCAGUGACCCAAUAGAUGUAUGUUUUAUGACAAAAUCUACUAUAAUAUAAUACAUUUAAUCUCCUCCAAACAAAGAUUUAAUUUGCCUUACCCAGUUAUCAAAACUUAUUUGUUCUUAACUAUAAUUUAAAUUACAAAAGCAUUAAAACCUAUCUGUUUUUUCACAAUUGUUUGAAUAAGUUUUAUAAAAUUACUUUACUUAAAUAUGAAUUUCAACUUCAUCUCUUGCUUCUCUAGCUCCCAGCUAGAAACACACACACUAUGAAAUAUGGGUUAAAUAGAACUCCUAAAAUCAAGCUUCUAUUAUUCUUAACAUUGAUGGUAGCUAGCUGCCUUGACAACCCCUCUAGAGAUGGGUUUGGUGGUUUGCUUCAUCAACUAUAUGGGAUCUGGAUAUUAGGUUUCUUGGGGCUCCUCCUAGGCUCCUUCGAAAUUCUCCAUGCCAAGUUUCAUGUCAUUUAUCAAGGGUUACUUUUGGCUAAACAAUUGAAAGAUCAUGGCGUGGUUUGCUUCACAGACUUUCUUCUUUGUUUAAUAUCCUUUGUGAUCACACAUAAAGAUUUCACAAGUUUACAACUUUGAUUGAAGACUUCAAAGAUUUACUUCAUGAAGAUUGGCGUGUUUACAUUACCCACACUCUCCGAGAAGGAAACAAUCGUGUUGAUUGCUAAUCUAGGUGCUUCAUCUAGCAUAGACAUCAUGAUCCACGCUUCCCCUCAGUUCGGCCUCUCAAACCUCCUCAAUGCGAACUCUAUGGAAACAUGGUUUCGCAGACUGUAGUUUUCUUUUUUUGGUCCUUUAGCUUUGUAACAAAAAAAUGAGUUUUCAAAUGUUCACUACUUCACUUCUUCAAAAGAGAAAUUUUAAAUUGCGGAAUGUGAUACCUAAAGGAGGCGUUACAUAGGGCACUUUGAUACUAUAUAAUAUAAACUCUUGCAGAGUUUUAAAAGUGUCAUUUGUGCCUGUCAUAUACACAGAAAUACCUGAUAGUCGAUCUUUUAGUAGAUUUUGCAAUAUCGGUAGACAUCCACAAAUAUAACUAACCGUUCUUUCCAUAAAGUUGUACGGAAGAUCAUAAAUUUAUAAGUAACUAAAUUUAACAACAACAACAAAUGUAUUUUUUUAGAUAAUGCUUUCAUUUCUAUUGAUUUAGUGAAAAAUCGAGAUACAUAGACAUCAAAUCUCACAGUUCCAUAGCAAAAGGAGAAAUUAACAAGUGAACACUUUAUUUCAAACUUAAAUUAAGAAAACAACAACAAACUGACAAGCACACUCAUUUUUAAUGACGAUAGUAGGAAGGCUUGGUAAGUUGGAGGAUGGAUUUAAAAAAGUAAUGUGUUUUUCAUAUUCCUUGCAUGUGGUUCAACUUGUCAUAGAGGGAACAUCUCAGUUUCAUCAUUAUGUUAAAGAACUAGAGAUUAUUAGAGAUUUCAUGAAAAAAGAUUGGACAAUAGCUAUUAACGUAGAUCCUCUUUUCCUUUUCUCAUGUAAAAAAAAGCCCAAAUAGUAUUUUUAUUAAAAAGGUCUUACCAUAAAACGUAAAACGCGAAGUGAGUUUAGUGAUGUUCUAUCAAUUUGUCACAAGGUUGUUCUAGACAAUACUUCAAAGAUCCUAGCGACAUUAGUGGAUGAAGUGGGUAUCUUAGCUCCAUUGAUAAUGUGGAAUAUUUGAAUCUCUCGCAACAAAUUUAUUUUUAAGGAAACAACUCCUAUGAAGUACUAGAUCAUAACAUCUAUCUUUACUCAGCUACAAGUUUCCAAGCAGGCAUUGGGAAGUCCAACCUCCCACUCUCAUCGAACAACUCGUGAGAUGUGUUGGAAUAAAGGGGAUGAGGAUGCCAUGAUUCUCAAUGUAGAUGGAAGUGCUUAUACUAAUCCAAGGAAUGGAGGGUUUAGCGGCUUGGUGCUUAACCAUGAUGGAACCUUUCAAUUUGGUUUCUAUGGGAGUGUAGGUUUGUCCAAUAUUCUUCAUGCGGAAAAACAAGCGCUUUUAGUGGGCAUCAGACUGUGUUGGCAACCUGGAUUUAAAAAAGUAAUGUGUUUCUUAUAUUCCUUGCAUGUGGUUCAACUUGUCACAAAGGGAACAUCUCAGUUUCAUCAUUAUGCUAAUGAGCUAGAGAUUAUUAGAGAUUUCAUGAAAAAAGAUUGGACAAUAGCUCUGCAUCACGAGAGAAUGCCUACGCAUAUGUGCUAGCAAAGUUAAAAGCUAUUAAAGUAGAUCCUCUUUUCCUUUUCUCGUGUAAAAAAAAAAAGCCCAAAUAGUAUUUUUAUUAAAAAGGUCGUAACGCAAAGAAAGAAAAUGCAUAAUUUUUACCCCAAGAUAAAAACGUACAUCAACAUAGGCUCUUCGUAAAACGAAGCAUGUAAAUAUAGUCAAUUAUCCAUCUAACCAUAGAGACGGGAAAAUUAUUAAUUAAAAAUACAAAAAUUAAACUAGAAUUGGUGGGGUGUACCUAACUCAUGCAAUAGUGCAACACAUGAGAAGCCCAAUAGCAAGCUAUUGAAGUGGCUUCUCCCCCUCAAAAAAGUAAUUUAAUAUCAUGUGAACCAUUGGAACACAUAUCAGAUAUUAAACUGAUAAGAACAGAUACUACACUUGAUCUUAGCCAAAAGGCCGAGAAAGGUAUGAGUUGAAAGAAGAGCUGGCUUCUGCUUUUAUAUCAACUGUCACUUAGUUUCUUUCUUCAUUACCCGAUAUGGGACUUAUAUGCAGUACCACCCUCCAUUGAUAUCAAUUUCUCAACAAAUACUUUUCUACACUGCUGUUGAAAAUUAGUUGGUUAUAAUUCUAAUUAAGGGCUAUUGUAUAAAUUUUGAUGUUAUUAUCUUAAUCAUGGAUCAUCAUUAUUACUUUCUUCAAUCAACUCUUGGAUGAUACUCUUUAAUUUUGUAUCAUUAUCUAUCGAAAAAGCACAUUAUUUUCUUAACAAGAUUGAUGUUGUUUUUUNNNNNNNNNNNNNNNNNNNNNNNNNNNNNNNNNNNNNNNNNNNNNNNNNNNNNNNNNNNNNNNNNNNNNNNNNNNNNNNNNNNNNNNNNNNNNNNNNNNNNNNNNNNNNNNNNNNNNNNNNNNNNNNNNNNNNNNNNNNNNNNNNNNNNNNNNNNNNNNNNNNNNNNNNNNNNNNNNNNNNNNNNNNNNNNNNNNNNNNNNNNNNNNNNNNNNNNNNNNNNNNNNNNNNNNNNNNAUCUCAAAUUAAAAUAGUCUGCAAUUAUACUAACUAUGAGUUUUGAGUUUGAAAAGUUUAAGGCUACGUUCAUAAUCAGGGAAUUCACUUCAGAACUUGUGAUUCUUUUAUGCUACAAAAUUCUCUAUUACUUGACAUUAUCAUCACAAUCAUCUGAGUUAGGAACAAAUUUAACUUAAAAAUUAUCACACAGUCACAGAAAUAAAUUUUAUGCAAAAUUAAUGUUGCUAGAAAGAAGCAGCAAGGAUGGUGUGUAACCGAUUUUCCUCAUGCUAAGCCACAUUCCACCACUACUGCCAAUGGAGGAACAGAUCUGGUGGCAUUUGGUAGUUAAGGCCGAGCCAAUUCAAUACCUCAGUCCAAACCUUCUUAGACACCUCGCAAAAAGGAAAUAAGUGCGUGGAAAAGGAAGACUAAAGGGUCCUGUCACUUAACACACAAUUGAGAGAGGUAUCCGGUGGUAAAGAGUGCCUCCUAGAGAGAUUGGUCCUCGAAGGGAUCCUAUAACGGAGUAGCUUCCAAGAGAAAGUCACAACUUUUUUCAGAGCCGAACUUUUUCAAAUUUGAGUAAACACAACCGAUAAUGGAUUUUGCUCUGAAGAUCAUAUAUUUUAUAAACCAAGUAAAUAAGCUUAACAACAACAUCCAAUCAAAGAAAAAAAACUUAACAACAACAUAAAUAUUAUUUGGAUAGUGAUUUCAUUUGUAUUAAUUUAUUCAUUGAUGAAGUGAGAUACAACAUAAACAUCACAAAUCUCCCAGUUCAAAAGUAAGAAAAGAAACUGACAAGAAAAAACUUUAUUACAUUGGAAGAUUAAGAAGACACAAAAACAACUAGCAAGCACUUGGUAAAUUGGAGGAUGGAUUAGUUGUAAUUAGGAUUGGCCAAAACAUAACCCUCAAUGGCCUUGAAAAGAGCAUCCCCCUUGGCUUUGCCUUCCUCAACCUCCUUUUCAAUUGGCUUAGCAUCUCCUUUGGUUUGGUAUUUAACUGUCGUCUUUCCAACAGACCCUCCAUUUGAGCCUUCAACCAAU